CAACACCCCAAUCCGAAAUCCAAGGGCAAAUAUGUCCACAACUCACAUAUGAUUUAAAUAACUCUUUACAAACAAUAAAAUUCGAGCCUCAAAUACAAAAGCCAGCGGAAUAACUUAAAAAUUUAGCCAAACCAUCUACCAUCUUCAACUUGUCACUCAUCACGAAUCAAUCCUGACUUCUGAAAACUGAAUCACAAUAAACUAUAAUGAGUAUAAAACUCAGUAAGCAAACUAGUUUUUCUUAUAGAAAAUACAUGCACACUUAUACAUAAUGCAAUUGAUGAUAUGCCAUGAUCUUUUGGAAAUACUGUAAAAUAAAUUCAUAAAAAUCUCAUUCUGUCGCUUUCAAACUUUCUCAUUUUCUUUCGAUGAAAUACGUAUCCUGCAAUGUGGCACUUUGUGCUGUGUGUGGCACUUUGCACCAUGCAUGGCACUUUGCGACGCUCUGGCCCUCAAGAGGUGGCCCCCGCAUAGUCUCAAGAGGUGGCCCCCACACAACUUCAAGAGGUGGCCCCCAAUGCAAAAUCUCAUAAAACAGAAAUUUCGUUUGCUAAAAUCAUUCAUAGAAAACUCAAUGCAUUUUCGUGCUCAUGCCAAUGAACCAUCACACAUACAUAUUCCCAUGUACAUAAUCAUGCCCAUUACAUAACAACAUACCACAUAAACACAUGAGGAGAGACAUAUAAAUACAUAUUCGUACAUAUCAAAAUAGGUUUUUCAUACAAGUCAAACAUAUAUAUUAUUUAUUGUGAUUCGUUUUAAAGUCUAGUUCACUUACCUCCUGGCAUCCUCAUGUAACAAAUGUGUACUGAUACCAUCAACCU
rnacentral:lncRNA from 1 species